UGUGUUGUUGGGUAGGGGAGCGUUCUGUAAGCCUGUGAAGGUGGCCUGUGAGGGUUGCUGGAGGUAUCAGAAGUGCGAAUGCUGACAUAAGUAACGAUAAAGCGGGUGAAAAGCCCGCUCGCCGGAAGACCAAGGGUUCCUGUCCAACGUUAAUCGGGGCAGGGUGAGUCGACCCCUAAGGCGAGGCCGAAAGGCGUAGUCGAUGGGAAACGGGUUAAUAUUCCCGUACUUGGUGUUACUGCGAAGGGGGGACGGAGAAGGCUAUGUUGGCCGGGCGACGGUUGUCCCGGUUUAAGCGUGUAGGCUGGUUUUCCAGGCAAAUCCGGAAAAUCAAGGCUGAGGCGUGACGACGAGGCACUACGGUGCUGAAGCAACAAAUGCCCUGCUUCCAGGAAAAGCCUCUAAGCAUCAGGUAACAUCAAAUCGUACCCCAAACCGACACAGGUGGUCAGGUAGAGAAUACCAAGGCGCUUGAGAGAACUCGGGUGAAGGAACUAGGCAAAAUGGUGCCGUAACUUCGGGAGAAGGCACGCUGACACGUAGGUGAAGUGAUUUACUCAUGGAGCUGAAGUCAGUCGAAGAUACCAGCUGGCUGCAACUGUUUAUUAAAAACACAGCACUGUGCAAACACGAAAGUGGACGUAUACGGUGUGACGCCUGCCCGGUGCCGGAAGGUUAAUUGAUGGGGUCAGCGCAAGCGAAGCUCCUGAUCGAAGCCCCGGUAAACGGCGGCCGUAACUAUAACGGUCCUAAGGUAGCGAAAUUCCUUGUCGGGUAAGUUCCGACCUGCACGAAUGGCGUAAUGAUGGCCAGGCUGUCUCCACCCGAGACUCAGUGAAAUUGAACUCGCUGUGAAGAUGCAGUGUACCCGCGGCAAGACGGAAAGACCCCGUGAACCUUUACUAUAGCUUGACACUGAACAUUGAGCCUUGAUGUGUAGGAUAGGUGGGAGGCUUUGAAGUGUGGACGCCAGUCUGCAUGGAGCCGACCUUGAAAUACCACCCUUUAAUGUUUGAUGUUCUAACGUGGACCCGUGAUCCGGGUUGCGGACAGUGUCUGGUGGGUAGUUUGACUGGGGCGGUCUCCUCCUAAAGAGUAACGGAGGAGCACGAAGGUUGGCUAAUCCUGGUCGGACAUCAGGAGGUUAGUGCAAUGGCAUAAGCCAGCUUGACUGCGAGCGUGACGGCGCGAGCAGGUGCGAAAGCAGGUCAUAGUGAUCCGGUGGUUCUGAAUGGAAGGGCCAUCGCUCAACGGAUAAAAGGUACUCCGGGGAUAACAGGCUGAUACCGCCCAAGAGUUCAUAUCGACGGCGGUGUUUGGCACCUCGAUGUCGGCUCAUCACAUCCUGGGGCUGAAGUAGGUCCCAAGGGUAUGGCUGUUCGCCAUUUAAAGUGGUACGCGAGCUGGGUUUAGAACGUCGUGAGACAGUUCGGUCCCUAUCUGCCGUGGGCGCUGGAGAACUGAGGGGGGCUGCUCCUAGUACGAGAGGACCGGAGUGGACGCAUCACUGGUGUUCGGGUUGUCAUGCCAAUGGCACUGCCCGGUAGCUAAAUGCGGAAGAGAUAAGUGCUGAAAGCAUCUAAGCACGAAACUUGCCCCGAGAUGAGUUCUCCCUGAGACUUAAAGUCUCCUGAAGGAACGUUGAAGACGACGACGUUGAUAGGCCGGGUGUGUAAGCGCAGCGAUGCGUUGAGCUAACCGGUACUAAUGAACCGUGAGGCUUAACCUUACA
rnacentral:rRNA from 1 species